CAGCCGCCGCGGUAAUACAGAGGGUGCAAGCGUUAAUCGGAAUUACUGGGCGUAAAGCGCGCGUAGGUGGUUUGUUAAGUUGGAUGUGAAAGCCCCGGGCUCAACCUGGGAACUGCAUCCAAAACUGGCAAGCUAGAGUACGGUAGAGGGUGGUGUAAUUUCCUGUGUAGCGGUGAAAUGCGUAGAUAUAGGAAGGAACACCAGUGGCGAAGGCGACUACCUGGACUGAUACUGACACUGAGGUGCGAAAGCGUGGGGAGCAAACAGGAUUAGAUACCCCUGUAGUCCCUGUCUCUUAUAC
rnacentral:rRNA from 1 species